UUGGCAGAUACACAGAUGCUGCAACUCUUCUUUUACGAUGGGGUGUAGCAGCUGAUAAAUGCAAUGCUGUUAACAGUCAAUGCAAGGCUUACUUGAGUGCAAUAAUCAUUUACCUCUAUAUGCAUGAUUUCCAGCAAGCUCAGAAGUGCUACAAUGAUUGUUCUCAAUUAUCAGGCUCGCGAGGAAAUUGCCUGCUGGGGAUCUGAAAGACUUCAAGAAGGAAGAGAAUAAGGAAACUUUGGAUGAUCCAAUUGGUGAUUUCUGUUUUACAAAGCCUAUAUUUACAUGUGUUUUGUUUUUAUGCUUUCAAAAUCGGUUGUUCGGUCUAUUGACAGACUUUGUCAGGAUUCUCUCUGGCAUGACAAUUCCAAUUCCAAAUCCAGAUCCGUUGCUUGGCAUAAUGUUUGUCUACCUAAA